rnacentral:lncRNA from 1 species
UUUAUAAAGAAAUAACAACUCCAAUUUGACCUUAAAUUUCCAUAAAUACCCCUCCAAUGCUGCCACAACAACAAGAAAACGAAAAAGCGGUCAAUUAGUAUUUUUCGGCACUAGAAUUGAUUUAGGAGGCUUAAAAUCACCUAGAGUUGAUAUUAAUAACAUGAGGGAGUAUUUACAGAACAUAAACCCUCUAAAACAACCUCCCACACGAGCUGGAACAACACGAAAAUGAGCAACAACAAGAAGAAUAAGAGACUUACUAGCGCCACGAAAUUCCCGACACUUGAUUUGUGUUGUUUGCCCUUUGUUUGGGUAUUGAACCUUGAGAGAAACUUGAUAGGAUGUUCCUAGGGUUCUAAGGUCUGAAAAUAGUGCACAAGCUGGAACAACACAAAAAUGAGCAACAAGAAGUAACAAGAGACGUACUAGCGCCACGGAAUUCCCGACACUUGAUUUGUGUUGUUUGCCCUUUGUUUGGGUCUUGAANNNNNNNNNNNNNNNNNNNNNNNNNNNNNNNNNNNNNNNNNNNNNNNNNNNNNNNNNNNNNNNNNNNNNNNNNNNNNNNNNNNNNNNNNNNNNNNNNNNNNNNNNNNNNNNNNNNNNNNNNNNNNNNNNNNNNNNAAAAUAGUGAAAAUAAAUGACUUAAAACGGGUUGGAAGUGGCAUAUAUAGGCCCAAAUGUCUUAAACCGCCUUAGUGGGCCCCAUGGAGAGGUGCUUGGCACAGUCUCGAGAAAACGCAAAGGUCUCUUUAUUCCGAGAUCGUAUCAACAAACAGUUUAAUGAGUUAGAAACUAGACUCAUACAUCUUAAAUUUUAUGGUUAGAUCAAUCCAUAAUUCUUAUUAAAUUGGGAGAAAAGCUUAGUAACAUUUGACCUAAUGUGUAAGUAAAAUUAUGAACCUAAGUUGCGACAACUUUUGUCGACUUUUGUCUCAUAACUCAUUUGNNNNNNNNNNNNNNNNNNNNNNNNNNNNNNNNNNNNNNNNNNNNNNNNNNNNNNNNNNNNNNNNNNNNNNNNNNNNNNNNNNNNNNNNNNNNNNNNNNNNNNNNNNNNNNNNNNNNNNNNNNNNNNNNNNNNNNNNNNNNNNNNNNNNNNNNNNNNNNNNNNNNNNUUGUCGACUUUUGUCUCAUAACUCAUUUGACUUCAAGACUUAUAAUACGGAUAUUAUAUGAUUAAAAUACCUUAAAACACUACCUCUUGAGUGUACUAAUCACCUCUAGUUUUAUCCGAAAAUACGACUAAAUACAUCUUUGAUUCGUUUAACUUCUAGUACUUGUUAUCCACCCAUAUACACCUUUGUAUCAUUUAAGACCAAUAAAAUUAACUUCUUAUCAUCUUAAAGAUAAUACUUUCAUGGAUUUAUGUCGAUUACCUUAUGGAAUGAGCUAACAUGCGUGAAUAUGGGUUGUAACAUUACACAACUUAUCUCAUAUCAAGGAUGGAUCCGUUAAAGUAUAUCUUUCAGAAGCCCAUGCCUACUGACAAGCUCUCCAAAUGGCACAUCCUGUUAAGUGAAUUCGACAUUGUUUACGUCACUCAGAAGGCAGUCAAAGGAAAAGCUUUGGCAGAUCAUCUCGCCGAGAAUACUGUGGGAGGAGAAUAUGAGCCUUCGAAGACAUAUUUUUCUGACGAAUAGGUAUCUUUCAUAGGAGAAGACAUUGCAGAAUCCUAUGAUGGUUUGAGGAUGUUUUCCGAUGGAAUCGCAAAUUUCAAAGGAUUUGGUAUAGGAGCAGUCUUGGUAUCAGAAACCGGUCAGCAUUACCCAGUAUCCGCCAAGCUCAGGUUCCCAUGCACCAACAACAUGGCCGAGUACAAAGCCUGCAUCUUAGGGCUCAAAUUGGCCAUUGAACAUGAACAUUUAGGAGUUGCUAGUAAUCGAAGACUCGAACCUCCUAAUACAUCAGGUUCGAGAGGAAUGGGAAACCAAGAAUUCUAAGAUACUCCCUUAUCUGCAUCACAUAUAGGAGAUGAGGAAAAGGUUCACAAAGACCGAAUUUCAGCAUAUUCCCAAAAUACAGAAUGAGUUCGCUGAUGCACUUGCGACUUUAUCAUUCAUGAUCCAACAUCCAGAUUCAAACUUCAUUGAUCCCAUUCAGAUCAAGAUCCAUAACCAACCAGCUUUUUGUGCUCAUGUUGAGAAAGAAGCGGAUGGAAAACCAUGGUUCCACGACAUCAGAGAAUAUUUGACAACAGGAGAAUACCCAGAGCUUGACAAUGCUACUCAGAAGUGCAUGCUCCAGAGAUUGUCUAAUAAUAUCUUUCAUUGCGGGGGAAUCCUUACAGGAGAACUCCUGAUUUAGGAUUACUAAGAUGUGUCGAUACAAAGGAAGCAUCCAAGUUGCUGGAUGAAGUGCAUGCGGGGAUCUGCGGACCGCACAUGAACGGUUUUGUUUUAGUGAAGAAGAUACUCCGAGAAGGAUAUUUUUAGAUGACUAUGGAAACGGACUGGAUCAAGUACGUUCGAAAGUGCCAUCGGUGUCAGAUACAUGCAGAUGUGAUAAAAGUACCUCCAAACGAGCUUAAUGCAACAAGCUCUCCAUGGCCGUUCGCCGCUUGGGGAAUGGAUGUUAUUGGACCGAUCAAGACUGGCGUGUCAAACGGGCACAUGUUUAUCUUAGUGGAAAUUGAUUAAUUCACUAAACGGGUCAAAGCAUCAUCAUACAAAGAAGUAACCAAGAAUGUUGUAGCAUAUUUCGUCUACGACCGUAUGGUUUGUCGGUUCGGAAUUCUAGAAUCAAUUAUCACUUACAAUGGUUUCAAUCUCAAGAGCGACCUAAUGAAAGCAAUGUGUGAGACUUUCAAGAUCAAACAUAAAAAUUCCAUAGCUUAUAGACCUCAGAUGAAUGGAGCUCUGUAGAAGCAACCAAUAAGAACAUCAAGAAGAUAUUAAGGAAGAUGAUUGAAAGGCACAAGCAGCAGCAUGAGAAAUUGUCGUUUUCCUUAUUGGGUAAUCGUACCACUAUCUGCACAUACACCGGGGCAACUCCCUACAUAUUACUUUAUGGUACAGAAGCAGUCAUUCCCUCCGAGAUAGAAUCGAUCCGCUUUCAGUUAUUCAGCACAGUCGUCAGCAGCGUCAGCCCGGUAAACUGGUGCGGAAUUUUGAGGAUGCGAGGUUGCCGUGUCUUGAACCACGUUGCAGUCGUUGGUUAAUCCAAAAUAAAAUCGUUUUUCAAAUAUUUACUUACAUUAUAUUUACUAAAUCAUGCAUAAACGUCAUUUGGAUCUCUAUCGUUUAGCACUGCUACCCCAAUGAUACGCGGCGUCAAGAGCCAAGGAAUAUGAACUAACCUUCCCCAUCUACAGAACUCAUGACUUUGGAUGCAGGCACCUAGGCCGCAAAUCAUUGAACACGUUCAUUCUUAAGGAUUGAGAACUUUCAUAACGGUCGCUCAUUCACAAAUCUACUAUUUACACCGAACAUUCCCCAACACUCAUAAUAUCACAACCAUCUAUCAGCUAAGAAAACUUACUAUUGUUCGCUCAUUUACAUUCCUGCAUUGCAUAAGGCUAUUUUCUGCCUUCCGAGGUUAAGAUCUACCUACAUACUGCAUAAGGUCACUUGUCUGCCUUUUAAGACUAAGCUCUUUCUCCAUCUACAUUGUUGCAUAAGUCUAUUUUCUGCCUUCCGAGGUUAAGCACUACCUCCAUCCUGCAUAAGGCUACUUAUCUGCCUUUCGAGACUGUGACGACCCGACUCAUCAUCUUAUGUGUUACUGCUCUGUUUCCCCUUAUUGUGUUGCUUCAUGUUUCAAUAUCAGUAUUAGAGUCGAUCGGGUGUCAUUGAAUUGGUUUUGGUUGAAAAUAAGGCACUUGGCAUCAUAGAAGGAAGCUUGUUUUGGAAAAGUCAACCGGAAGUUAACUUGUGAGUAAGAAGGCUCGGAUGUGAUUUAAGAUAAUUCGGUUAGCUUUGGAAUAUGAUUUGUGACUUAGGAGAGCGAUCAGAAUUGAAUUUGGAGAUCCGGUGUAGAAUUAGGCUUGAAUUGGUGAAGUUUGAAUUUUGACGGAUUCCGGUUGGUAGGUGAGAUUUUGAUCUCAGGGUCGGAAUGGAAUUCAAAGAGUUGCAGUAGCUUUAUUAGGUAAUUUUGGAUACGUCCACAAAUUUUCAGGUCUUUCGAACAUUGUUUAGUCGGAUUUUUGAUUGAAUAUGAGUUCAGAAAUUUAAAGUAAAUUUAAGCUUGAAUUUGUCGUGAUUUGAUGAUUUUUGUGUUAUAGGACGUGUUUUUAUGAUUGGAACAAGUUCCUAUAAUGUUUCGGGGUAUGUUGGUGUCCUUGGUCGAGGUUCCGGGGGUCUCGGGGUGAUUUCGAAGGUUCAAACGGAUCAAUUUUAGCUUGUAUAGAUGUUAGAUUUUUGCUGUCAUAUGUUGCAGACCUUAAAGCAUCGCUUCGCGUGGUGGUGGACGCUAAUGCGUAGAGUGAAUUUGAGAGGCCUGGAAAUUAGUAAUUGUGUUCGCGUAGUUUUGGGAAGUAAAGCAUCGCGUUCGCAGUGCAUGUAGCACGUUCGCGUAGAGGGGAUGUGAGGCCAUGAGUAAGUACUCAUCGCGAUCGCGGCCAUAGGGGUACGUUCGCGUAGGUGGAGACUGUGGAACAUCGCGCUCGCGGGUCGGUAGUCGCGUUCGCGUAAGGGUAUUUGGGGUCAGCAUAAUUUGGUCAUCGCGAACGCGUGGGUCUUGGACCGCGUUUCUGUAGGGUAAAUUGGCACCCGGGCAGAAUUGAUUUAAGUCAUUUUACUCCGUGAGUUUAAGUCAUUUUUCCUCCAUUGUUGAGCAACUUUGGAGCUAUUGGACGAGGGAAUAAGAGUAUUUCACCUAGGUUUCGACUUGAGGUAAGUUUUAUGAGCUUAAUAUAUGAGAUUGGUGAAUAAUCAUCCAUUAAUUCUCUGAAUCUGGGUAUGAAAUUGAAGAAACUGGGCUUGAGUUUUUGAUAUUUAAAAUUGGGAUUUGAUAGGUUAUUUGAGCUUGAAUUUGGGAGUUCUUGGUAUGUAUGAACUCGUGGAGAGACGAGGAUUCCGGAAAUGGAACUUUCGUAAUAUUUCGAGAAGCGGGCCCGGAGCUCGGGUUUUGCUAGUUUCGAGGUUCUUGCUAUAAUUCAAUUAUUUUCGAUUGGGCAUUGUCCUAUUUGCAUAUUGUGAUGUAUUUGCUCUGUUUUUUACUAGAUUCGACGCGCAUGGAGGACGAUUUGAGGGGCAAAGGCGUCACAAGCUCGAGAUUACACCGGUUUGAGGUGAGUAAUAUUGGGGAAUGAUAUCCUGAGGGUUUGAAACACCGGAUUUGCGCAUCCUAGUGUUGUAUUGUAGUGACUUGCACACUGGACCUGAGCGUGGGGUAGAGCACCGUUGGGAUUGUGACUUUGUCCGUCCUAGUUGUUGGUUUUUACCGCUAAAUCAUAAAUCUUUUGUUGUUAUCAUCAUGACUUGGGCUCAUUUCCAUACUUGGGGAUUAUUGCAGAUUAUUUGAAAACCCCGGUAUAACAUUGCGAUGCUACAUUGAGGCGAGACACGCACACCAUGGCUAGUGCGGGGUCAUAUAUGUGGGAAAUUGUGACUAGGUUCAAUCCGAGGGAUGAAUUAUACUAUAUUGGUGAUUGCUUCGCACCCUAUAUUGAUGUUAUCUGGGCUUGAUGCCAUGUUUGGGGCCUUGUGCCGACAUGUAGAAUCCUGUAGGGAUUGAUAUUUCAGAUGUUAGCAUGAUUUGCAUACUAUUUGCAUUCAAUCCAAGGUUUUUAACACUAUUUUUACAAACUCAGCCAAAAUUAUAUGCUUUGAAAACACAAAUGAUUUUUAAAUGAUAUUUCGGGCUGACAAUCAUUAUCUCACUAUUUUUUGGACUGCAUAUUAUAUCAUGGAAACGGUGGUAACUAUUGGCACCGUGUGUUUUAAUGAAAACGGUGGUAAUUAUUGACACAGUGUAUUGUAAUGGAAACAAUGGUAACUAUUGGCACUGUAUAAUAUUGCGCUUGGGUUGAAGGAGCCCCUCCGGAGUCUGAACCCCCACAGUGAGCUCCGUCGACGUUAACUCAUAUGCAUGGUUGGCUCGGGCUGCACGUUGCAGCGUAUUCAUGUACACUGCAUUGCAUUCAUGCAUUUACUCAUGUUUGUACUAUGUGGCACGACAUUUAGCUCUCAUAUAUCAUCGGCAUACAUACUGUUACUUGCCUUGUUGACCACAUACCCUGGUGUUAUAUGUUAAGGAGUGCUGAACCCGAGAGGCUGAUGUUGGAUAUUUUGAGUUGAUAUUGAGCCCAAGGGACAGGUUUCUGACUAUUUCCUACUUGUUGAAAUUAACUUUGAAAUUGUUGAAAAAAGCAUAUUUUCAAAAGAGAUUUUUGAACUGCACUUGGGAUUUUCUAAAGGGAAUUUUCACAGUAUCUCAGCUUUGGGUUGUCCUGUCUUUAAAGAUGUUUGGUGUGCUCAUACGUGUUUUCUUAUCGCUCAGAUAUUAUUCUCUCCUAUUACCACUGAGUUGGAAGUACUCACUUUACUCCCUGCACCUUGCGUGCAUUUGCAGGUAUUGUUCAUCCGGUAGCGGAUUAUUAGCAGGACCGAAUGCCUUAUUGUGGUACUACUUUACUCCCUGCACCUUGCGUGCAGUUGGAGGUAUUGUUCACCCGAUAGCGGGUCAUUAGCAGGAUCGAAGGCCACAUUCUGGUAAUCGAACAGGGUGACCGCCAGCGUUCGCGGCACCGCACUCCAUCUUUGAAUUCCGGUUUUACCUUGUAUAUUUAUACAUUGUUGGUCCCGUAGUAGUGUCCCAACUCUUUAGAUGCUCGUGACUUGCGACACCCCGGUCGGGUUGUAUUGUGAUGAAAUUUCAUAGUUAAAUGCCAUUAAUUAGUACUUCCAUUCAUUUAUGUUUAAUAGUUGUUUCAAAGAGGAUAUUGGGUUGUUGGCUGGCCUUGUCUUCACGAGAGGUGCCACCACGACCGGGUCGUGACAGAGACUAAGCUUUGUCUCCGUUUGCAUUUUGCAUAAGGCUACCUUUCUAAUUUUCGAGGUUAAGCUCUACCUCCAUCCCGCAUAAGGCUACAUAUCUGCCUUUCGAGACAAAGCUCUGUCUCCACCUGCAUUUUGCAUAAGGCUAUUUUCUACCUUCCGAGGUUAAGCUCUACCUCCAUCCUGCAUAAGGCUACUUAUCUGCCUUUCGAGACUAAGCUCUGUCACCAUCUGCAUUUUGCAUAAGGCUACUUAUCUGCCUUUCGAGAUUAAGCUCUGUCUCUAUCUGCAUUUUUGCAUAAGGCUACUUUCUGCCUUCCGAGACUAAGCUCUGUCUCCAUCUGCAUUGCAUAAGGCUAUUUUCUACCUUCCGAGAAUAAGAAUUGUCUUCAUCUCGUAUGGCUGAAAUAUCGCCACUUUAUUUUUUUUGAACGGCUGAAAUAUCACCACCUGCAUUUAUGUUUUCACUUUGGCUGAAAUAUCGCCAUCUGUAUUUAAUUUUUCGCUUUGGCUGAAAGAUCGCCACCCUUUGCAUUCAUUUGUCUGGAAUAUUUCCACAUUCUCAUGGGCGGAAAGAUCGCCAACUUAUUCAAAGGCAUCAUAGUUCAAAGGCCCCAUCUGCAUAGCUCUAGAUUAUGAAAAUGUCUAACAAUGGCCUUCCAGCUCCGAAAGAUGAAUAUUAUGAUGCGGAAAAAUUCCUGGGAGUUGAAUUUGAGCGAAAUUAUGACAAACUCAUGUCAAAGAGUAUUGUCAAAGAACGGGGCAUCCGUUUGGAAAAUACUGAGGAGAAAAUGCCAGAGUUCUUCCAGAGAUUGAAUGAAAAUGGUUGGAUAUGCUUUGCUCCUGAACCAAUAAGCGAACUACGCCAAAUUCGAGAAUUUUAUGCAAAUGCAUUGAGGACUGAUUUCCGGGAGGAAGUGUUCACUUCCGUCAGAGGAAAGCGGGUCAACUUUGGACCUGAGGUAAUUAAUGCACACUAUAGGCUGCCCAAUUUUGACGACGAGGUAUACAGAGCUAUAGGAAGAGAGAGAGAGAGAGAGAGAGAGAGAGAGAGAGAGAGAGAGAGAGAGGAUAUCAAUGGUUGAUUGAAAAGCUUCACGGGUGGUGGUGCCAACUUGGGUAAGAGCGCAUAAAGGGGUUGAUUCUCAUGAGUUCACUAGGGAAGCCAAGAACUGGCUAUCCCUUAUCUGUGCCAGGAUUGUGCCUGCUAGGAAUGAGACUGAGGUGACUCUAGAGAAGGCAAUGAUGAUUGCUGCAAUCAUGGAUGGCCUGCCAGUAAAUGUAGGCCGACACAUUGUGAAUGAGAUUGAGGAAGCUUGCAAUGAAGAACGAGAAGCCUAUUCUUUCCUUCAUUGAUCACCCAGUUGUGUUAUAAUGCAGGUGUGUUAACAGCCUGCUACGGAAAUCUUUCCAUUGCUUCGAAGAAGGGCAUCUGGGAAGAAGAAGAAGAGAAGGAUCGAUGUGCAGUCUCCUUCAUUUGGGCAGUUUGAUGAGCCGGUCGAGGGAUAUGGUAGUGACCCCACAACUUCAGCAGGGUUCUUUGACACCAUGGGACAACUCCAGUCAGGUCCUCGCACUAUGCGCCAUAUUUCCCAUCAGAUAGCAGGUGUUGAUGUGCAUAUUCGACAGCUAGUUGUCGGCUUUCCUUCUGGACCAUCUAAUUCAGCUAUUCCAACUAGUGAGGGUACUUCUACUAGGUCCGGCAAGAAGAAGCAACCGACUUUAGAUGAAGUGGUGCAUGAUCAAAAAGCAAUAAAGACCAGGCGAGAAGACCUUGGCCGGAGGCAAGGAAAAGUAGAAAGGCGACAUAGGAAAUUCAAGGAGCACGAAAAGAAGAAAAGAUGGUUCCUAUCGCGGAUGACGCAGACGAUCGGCUCACUAUGUGGUUCACAGGAUUCUUCUGAUGAUGAUUAUGGCGAUGCAGAGCUAAAGUUUCCUACCACAUCCGACUCCGAGUGAUGCAGUAUUCAGGGAGCACUUUUCACCAUUUUAUUCUUCCAUGUUUAGUUGCAUUAGGAACAUUGCAAUAUCUUUUGUUGGGGGUGGCUUCUUGUAUAGUUGUGGUUAGGGCAGUUUAGUAUUGUAGUUGUUUUUAUUUUUAUUUUGUAGUAUAUUUUGUGUGAUGUGUGACAUUAAUUAUAUUAGUAAUGAUGCAUUAACAUCUUAAUUCUAUGUAUUAUUAGUAUCUUAAAUCAUUUUUUUAUUUUAUAUAUUUAGUGUGUUUUAUGUUAGUGGCGAUAUCCUUUGUUUUCUUUAUACCACGGUUCUUUUCCCAAGGAUGCCAAUUUUCUUCUUGAACCGGAAAAAGUGUAGAUAAUUUUGAUUUUUUUAUUUGUUGUUGUUAUCGACUAACUUGGGUUGAAAAAUGAUAUUAGGCCUUCCUUGAACCGCUAGUAUGCUUUAAAUUUCCUGCCCUUAAAUAUUUUCCCUAGUCAACCAAUUUUGAGCAUUUAAUGUCGUGUGUUUUAAUAUCGCUUACUUCUAUUUUACAUGUUGUAUGUGAUUUAGAAGUAAUGGUGAAGAAACCAAGUGAAAACAAGCCAAAAUGGAGCUUAAAUGGAGAAAAUGCAACUGCCCAGAUAUUUACACUGCGAUCGCAUAGACCCAGGACCCAAAGCAAUGCGAACGCAAUGGUCUUGUGCGAACGCACAGAAGAAAGGGAGUCUGGUCAGCAGUUGGUCAACUACUUUAUGUGAACGCAUAGAGUACUGUGCGAUCGCACAGUAGGCGGGAACUAACCCUAUGCGAUCGCACUACCUCUAUUGCGAUCGCAUAGAGUUAAUUAGGGACAGCUCUGGAAUUUCACUUAUUUUGACCCUAAAUCCUUUAAUAUCCAAAUCGGUUCAUUUUGUACGUAUCUUUGGCUUAUUUUCAGUCCAUAGAGACUAGAGAGAACAAGGAGAAAGCUAGGGUUCUUGCACAAACACACUUGGGUCUUGAUGAUUGAAGCUUGUGGUUAAGAUUUUCUUAUCUAUUUAUGUUGUUUCCUUCAUUUCCUUGCUUUGUAUUGUAAAUCUAAGUGUGCAGUAUUUAUUUCCAACACUUAAUCUUGUUUAUGGGAAUAUUCAUAAUUAAAGUGUGGAUUUAANNNNNNNNNNNNNNNNNNNNNNNNNNNNNNNNNNNNNNNNNNNNNNNNNNNNNNNNNNNNNNNNNNNNNNNNNNNNNNNNNNNNNNNNNNNNNNNNNAAGCUAGGGUUCUUGCACAAACACACUUGGGUCUUGAAGAUUGAAGCUUGUGGUUAAGAUUUUCUUACCCAUUUAUGUUUAUUUCUUCAUUUCCUUGCUAUGUGUAGUAUUUUUUCCCAACAUUUAAUCUUGUUUAUGGAAAUAUUCAUAAUUAAAGUAUGGAUUUAAUACCUUGUUGUGCUUAUGUAUUAAUUGAAGUUCUUGUAUUGUUCACAUAGAUUUUGCUUGUUGAAUCUUUAUUUGUUCAACUACAUAAUUAGUAUUAGUUAAUUGAAAGGAAUUUCAAUUAACCAUGCCUAUUUAGUGUGUAUCUACUCGAGAGAGAGUGCAUAUUUAGGUAGUUGUUGAACAUCACUCCCGGAGUAUAGACGAGAGUCAUAAUCGAGAGUUUAGAGGUUUGAUUAGAUAGAGAUACCUCAGGUGCAAUCUAAGUGAACCAUUAUACGAAUCUAGAUAGCGUAGCUCGAGAGAGUGCGUCUAAUAAAUUAUUAUAAUUACUCGAGAGAAAUUUAUGAUACGUAGAGAGUUCACGGUUGAUAGAAGCAACUAAGUAUAUCUUUUUGACCAUUAUUGGAAGGGAUAUAAAAUACAUUGGAUCGUUACUUGAUGUGUAAUUCCCGAUGCAGCAUUUCCCCAAUUAAGUAUACCUUUGUGACCAUUAUUGUAAGGGAUACAAAAUAAAUUGGAUCUUUACUUGAUGUGUAAUUCCCGAUGCAUUCAUACUUGUAGCCAUUGAUCAUUUUAUUUGCUUUCUAGAAUAGUUUACAUUUCCGCAAUUAAACCAAUAUAAUUCCAGAAACAUCUCAUUAACCCGUUUGGCUUUUCACCAUAAGUGAUAAUUCUCCUACAUCCCUAGUCGCCUACACAUUGUCCCUGUGGAUUCGACUCCGACUCAUAGUUGGGUAAAUUAUAUUGCAAUCUACCGUAUCUAUUGCUUUUGAGCAGUGAAUUUGGACGACUUCAAUAUUCCUUCAAUUUGUUGUACUCAACCAAGUAACUGCUUUCCAAUUCCUCUAAAAUCAUUCUCUUUACCCUUUUUAACUUUGAAUCAAUUACAUUCAAACUAAAUAUAUCCUCUAAUCAACCUUCAUCUUUUUAACCUUAAACUUAGGAUUAUUUUGAAUCUUUCUCUUAAAAUAAUGUGCUAAAGCAGCAGAAGUAGCUCUUCUAUUCUCAAAAACUUCACCAUAAUCAUGUUUAUCCCUCCAAGUUUUUAUCUUUACCCCUUGAUCUCUGUCAUCCUUAGAAAUAAAAUAUUUAAAGGGACACUAAAUCUGAGACUUGUAUCUAAGUUUUAUCCUAUCACUCUUAUCUACCUGUCCACUCUUAUUAGAAACAACAUAAAAAUCAAUAAUCUCCUUAGCUUCAGCGAGAUCUUGAAUGUCAUACCUUUUUCCAAUAUUUUAUACCUAUCAAGUUGGUAAGUUAUCUCAAAUUUCUUUUGCCUCUAAUAUAAACCUAGGGCAUCAUUAUCAUAAGCACUAUCAAUACUUUUUAUAUAUGUAUCAUCUUCACUACUAUCACAUUCAGUAGCUACAACAACAUGUAUACUAUUUGUAUUGGUUCGCCGGGUAAAUACUAUCACACCUCCUUUUUAUACACCAACCCCGAAGGAUAAUGUAUAAGGGAGUUUUUCCAUUUAAAGUGAAAUUAUUCGGAUCGGGAUUAUUUAUUCAGAGUCGACACUUGGGAUAAGUUUGACUUUUGGUGUCCUAAGUCAACAGUUUAGCUUGAAUCCCAAUCCGAGGAAAAUGUUCGACUUCCUAAUUGGAGUCUGCGAACCAAAAAUUCUAAAUAAGGAAUUCUAUUGACCCGGGGAAAAGUGUUAGGCACCAUCAGAUCUCGUGGUUCUAGCACGGUCACUUAAAUUGCCGUGAAUGGUCAAAAUCUGAUUUUUAUUACAUGAAGAGCCUAUGUGGCAAUUUUUACUUUUUACCGCUUUUAUUCAAUAUAAUAUUUAUUUGAGAAAGUGAACGUCGUUUAAAGUGUGUUUUCGGAUUUCGCCACAUAAAAUGAACUCGCAAUCCAAGGCACACUCUAUUCAACGUUUUAGGAUUUAGAUUUAGGUCGCAAGAAAUGCACACCCGUAUUUAGGAAGGUAAUAUUAUUAAAAGCGCGCCUAAAGCGACUACCGUGUUAUUAACUUCGCGGGAGGGAGGCCGUAAAAAUUUGCUAAACGACAUGUCCUAAAUUCUAAAUAGUUAAAAUUAAUUAAGCGAGGGCCAUGAGUUUUGGGAUUUUAUUUAACAUGGCACGCCUCAAAUUAUUUCAUUGCUUCGAAAGUUAGAGCUACAUACUGUAUAGUUCUCAUUUUGCAAGACCCUCACAAUGAUUUACGAGUCUGACACUAAAGUUUCUCAUUCCCUGACUCUAAACCAAAUUCCUUUACAAAAGUUGUACACAUUCAGCUUAUAAACACAGCACAUAGCUCAACAAACAAAUGGAAUCUAAAGGCCAUAAGAAGGACAAGCAGUUAUAAUGAGUAAAAUGGCAAAUGAAUUCAGAAUUGGUGUUGUCCUACAGCCCCUCAAGCAUGCUGUACAUAACUUAUUUGUAUUCUACCAAAGAAAUUGCUCAAAUUACUAAAAUUAUACAUGGACACCCAUAUUAGCCAAACAAUUCAAGGCCAUUAAUCUAGUAUAUCUAACAUUUAAACCCAGAACGAGAGAAAGGGUGAAUCAAGCAACAAUGAGACAUUUUUUGUUAAUGUAAUUCAUAUUCAAAAUUUUGCAACCCAAAACCUCUCAUAUGUACUGCUCUCACAUGGAAUACGACAACAAAACACGGCUUCUCGAAUUUGACAGAAUUAUCAAGCAGGCAACUCAAAAAUCGGUAAUUCCGAAUCAACAAUUACCCCGGCGUACAGAACUUAGCAACUUCGCGAACACGAAAUUCACAAUACCGUGGUAAAAUUCCACAUCAAUUCUUCAAAAUUCAGCUACACAAAGCUUAUACCAAUUCGAAAAUUUAACAAAAAUUUUAACAUUACAUGUCAACCAAGAGUCAUUUCUGGAAUCGAAUUGAUAUUGCAAUAUACAGAAUCCAAAUGGAGUUAAAAGAUAAGGAAAAUAGUCAUGAUUUUACAUUAAAACAUAUCUAAAAAUACAGAGGUGAGGGAACGUACUUACUUGGACUAGAAUUGACCUUAAUCAGUAGUUGAAACAACUAGAAAACCCAGCAAGAGCCAGCUGCAGCAACAAACCAGCCACGAACGAAUUGUCACUCACGAAUUCCAGAAAAAUUGCAAAUAAGAGAGCAGAAAUUCAAGUAGCCUUCAAAUCCUUUAUUUUCAGUUUUCGUUUCAUCUCUUGGAGUUUGACUAGAUCCUCCAUGGAUUGUCGGAUUUAAUGUUACUUCUGGCCAGAUCCGCGAUUUGUGAAGAGUCCCCUUAUUUUGUGAUCUUCAUUUUGAUUUGAGAACGAAGGGAGGAGAGCUUUUUUUUUGGUGUUCUGCUCCAGGAGGUUAUGCACGAGAGGGGAGAGAGGGGGGGGCUAGCAUCAGCGUUAAUGGUGUCGAGGUCUUGGAGAGAAAAAUGGAGGAAAAGGGAGGUCUCUCUGUUCACAUGUGUGUCUAGGUUAUGUUGUACAGAUUUGACUGUAGGAUCAUAGGAUGAGAUAACGUGUUCGAGGGGAUUUGGGUCUUAAAA